AUGGAGAAACAUGCGCAGUAUUGUCUGCACUCUGGUGGGAAGGCUUCUCCGAGUCUGUCCUUUCAGCUGAAGUUUGCUUCACCACCGUGGCUAUGCCUGGGAGCCUGGACCUACCACGCAGUGUGCUCGUUAUUUCUUCAUGAGUGUUUUCAGUCUUUUAUCCUCGCAUGUCAUAGCACCUUGGAGUCACCAACAAACAUGCCUUCUUCUCCUGAUUAUUUUUUGUGGAAUCUGACCUGGAUAAUGAAAGACUCCUUCCCUUUCCUGUCUCAUCGCAGCCGAUAUGGUAAGUAUAUUUUUGGUAGUUAUUUGUGAUGCACCAUCACUAGCUCAUAAUUAAGCAAGAUAGGAGCUUUGGUUGGUGACUAAUGGCUCUACAGGGAUCUU
rnacentral:lncRNA from 1 species